AACGAACGCUGGCGGCACGUUUUAAGCAUGCAAGUCGAAUGGCAGCAGGGGCAACUCUGUGAGAAUGGCGAACGGGUGAGUAACACGUAGGUGAUCUGCCUUGAGGAUGGGGAUAGCCUGUGGAAACACAGGGUAAUACCGAAUGAGCUGACGAGACUUUGGUUUUGUUAGUAAAGGUGCUACGGCACCGCCCUGCGAGGACCCGGCGGCUGAUUAGAUAGUUGGUGGGGUAAGAGCUUACCAAGGCGACGAUCAGUAGCCGGCCUGAGAGGGUGUACGGCCACACUGGAACUGAGACACGGUCCAGACUCCUACGGGAGGCAGCAGCUAAGAAUCUUCCGCAAUGGGCGAAAGCCUGACGGAGCGAUGCCGCGUGAUCGAUGAAGGUCGAGAGAUUGUAAAGAUCUUUUCUACAUGAGGAAUAAGUCUGGGAGGUAAUGCCCGGAUGAUGACGUUAGUGUAGGAAUAAGCCCCGGCUAAUUACGUGCCAGCCGCCGCAGUAA
rnacentral:rRNA from 1 species